UUGGAGGGCAAGUCUGGUGCCAGCAGCCGCGGUAAUUCCAGCUCCAAUAGCGUAUAUUAAAGUUGCUGCAGUUAAAAAGCUCGUAGUUGAAUUUCGGGACCAUCAUGUUGGUCGUGCCUCGGUACGUACUGGCAUUGUUGGUUUCUCCCUUCUGACGAACCAUGAUGUCAUUUAUUUGGUGUUGUGGGGAAUCAGGACUGUUACUUUGAAAAAAUUAGAGUGUUUAAAGCAGGCUCACGCUUGAAUACAUUAGCAUGGAAUAAUGAAAUAGGACGUUUGAUUCUAUUUUGUUGGUUUCUAGGAUCGACGUAAUGAUUAAUAGGGAUAGUUGGGGGCAUUAGUAUUCAAUUGUCAGAGGUGAAAUUCUUGGAUUUAUUGAAGACUAACUACUGCGAAAGCAUUUGCCAAGAAUGUUUUCAUUAAUCAAGAACGAAAGUUAGGGGAUCGAAGACGAUCAGAUACCGUCGUAGUCUUAACCAUAAACUAUGCCGACUAGGGAUCGGAUGAUGUUAAUUUUUUAAUGACUCAUUCGGCGCCUUACGGGAAAC
rnacentral:rRNA from 1 species